GGCAGCAGUGGGGAAUAUUGGACAAUGGGCGCAAGCCUGAUCCAGCAAUACCGCGUGAGGGAUGAAGGCUUUCGAGUCGUAAACCUCUGUCAGUUGGAACGAUGGGUCUGUAGGUUAAUACCCUGCAGACUUGACGGUACCUUCAAAGGAAGCCCCGGCUAACUCCGUGCCAGCAGCCGCGGUAAUACGGAGGGGGCAAGCGUUGCUCGGAAUUACUGGGCGUAAAGGGUCCGCAGGUGGCUUUGUAAGUUAGAUGUGAAAUCUCAGGGCUCAACCCUGAAACUGCAUCUAAUACUGCUUAGCUUGAGUACAGGAGAGGCUGGCGGAAUUCCCGGUGUAGCGGUGAAAUGCGUAGAUAUCGGGAGGGACACCAGUGGCGAAGGCGGCCAACUGGCCUGUUACUGACACUCAGGGACGAAAGCGUGGGUAGCGAACGGGAUUAGAUACCCCGGUAGUCCACGCCCUAAACGAUGGAUGCUAGGUGUGGGGAUGAAAAUCUCUGUGCCGUAGUUAACGCAUUAAGCAUCCCGCCUGGGGAGUACGAUCGCAAGAUUUAAACUCAAAUGAAUUGACGG
rnacentral:rRNA from 1 species